UACAGAGGUGGCAAGCGUUGUUCGGAAUUACUGGGCGUAAAGGGCGAGUAGGCGGCGUUCUAAGUCAGACGUGAAAUCCCCCGGCUUAACCUGGGAACUGCGUCUGAUACUGGGAGGCUAGAGUAUGGGAGAGGGAUGUGGAAUUCCAGGUGUAGCGGUGAAAUGCGUAGAUAUCUGGAGGAACACCGGUGGCGAAGGCGGCAUCCUGGACCGGUAUUGACGCUGAGGAGCGAAAGCCAGGGGAGCAAACGGG
rnacentral:rRNA from 1 species